rnacentral:rRNA from 1 species
UACGAGGGGGGCGGGCGUGUUCGGAGUUACUGGGCGUAAAGGGCGCGUAGGCGGCUGUUCAAGUCGGGGGUGAAAGCCUGUGGCUCAACCACAGAAUUGCCUUCGAUACUGGACGGCUCGAGACCGGAAGAGGUCAGUGGAACUGCGAGUGUAGAGGUGAAAUUCGUAGAUAUUCGCAAGAACACCAGUGGCGAAGGCGGCUGACUGGUCCGGUUCUGACGCUGAGGCGCGAAAGCGUGGGGAGCAAACAGGG